AUUCCAUUUGAUUGGUUAGGUUUGCCCAACAUGGCUUCAGUAGUAGAUAUUAAAGCUGUCUCCUAUCAUGUUUGUGGCGUUGUUCAGGUGGUUAGUUUGGGCUACAAAGCAAAGCCUUGACUCAUGGACCAGAGAACGGUAAGCCUCAAGUUAAGUAGACUGAUGAGAGUGGUAAUAUCUGCUUUGAGGCUUUUUCUGGACAACCAGCUCCUAGCACAACAGUUUCUGUGCCACAGCCACCAGGUAUCCGCCCAAGGGUGAGAGCCCGACCUGGACAAGCGAUAGAUCCGUACAUCAUAGCUGAAAGGUUGCUUAGAGAAAGAAUAUCAGAAAUGAUGAGGGCUUUGCAAGUAGUUGUUCCGAGCUGCAACAAAGCAGAUUUUAUAAAGGGAGCCACCCCAGAAACUCAAUGAAAAACCUUGAGAAGGAAUACAACCAAAACCAGUGAUUUGAUCUAACGAGAAAAUUACAAAAAAAAUGAAUCUAAAAUUCUCCACUCGCAGCAAACUUUGAAAUUGUCAGGGGAUUUGAUCUCGCAUUUCCAGGAACUAGAACAACUCUUUACGUCAUCCAAAAUUAAUUUCUCAACUUCAGUACAGUCAUGACCCAACUGAAGAAAAA